UACGGAGGGGGCUAGCGUUGUUCGGAAUUACUGGGCGUAAAGCGCGCGUAGGCGGACCUGCAAGUCGGGGGGUGAAAUCCCGGGGCUCAACCCCGGAAUGGCCUUCAAAACUCCUGGUCUUGAGUUCGAGAGAGGUGAGUGGAAUUCCGAGUGUAGAGGUGAAAUUCGUAGAUAUUCGGAGGAACACCAGUGGCGAAGGCGGCUCACUGGCUCGACACUGACGCUGAGGUGCGAAAGCGUGGGGAGCAAACAGG
rnacentral:rRNA from 1 species